rnacentral:rRNA from 1 species
AACGCUGGCGGCGUGCCUAAUACAUGCAAGUCGAACGGUCUUUCUAUGGAAGCUUGCUUCCACUGAGAAGAUAGUGGCGAACGGGUGAGUAACACGUGGGUAACCUGCCCAUAAGAGGGGGGAUAACAUCCGGAAACGGGUGCUAAUACCGCAUAGUUUUCUUGAUCGCAUGAUCGGGAAAGGAAAGACGGCCUUUGUGCUGUCGCUUAUGGAUGGACCCGCGGCGUAUUAGUUAGUUGGUGAGGUAACGGCUCACCAAGACGAUGAUACGUAGCCGACCUGAGAGGGUGAUCGGCCACAUUGGGACUGAGACACGGCCCAAACUCCUACGGGAGGCAGCAGUAGGGAAUCUUCCGCAAUGGACGAAAGUCUGACGGAGCAACGCCGCGUGAGUGAAAGAAGGUUUUCGGAUCGUAAAACUCUGUUGUCAGAGAAGAACAAGUUGGAGAGUAACUGCUCCAGCCUUGACGGUAUCUGACCAGAAAGCCACGGCUAACUACGUGCCAGCCGCGGC